rnacentral:rRNA from 1 species
GACGAACGCUGGCGGCGUGCUUAACACAUGCAAGUCGAACGGAAAGGCCCUGCUUGUGUGGGGUGCUCGAGUGGCGAACGGGUGAGUAACACGUGAGUAACCUGCCCUUGACUUUGGGAUAACUUCAGGAAACUGGAGCUAAUACCGGAUAGGAGCCCCCGCUGCAUGGAGGGGGGUGGAAAGUUGCGGCGGUUGGGGCUGGACGCGCGGCUUAUCAGCUUGUUGGUGGGGUAGUGGCUUACCAAGGCUUUGACGGGUAGCCGGCCUGGGAGGGUGACCGGCCACCAUGGGCCUGCGGUACGGCCCAGACUGCUACGGGAGGCAGCAGUGGGGAAUAUUGCACAAUGGGCGGAAGCCUGAUGCAGCAACGCCGCGUGCGGGAUGACGGCCUUCGGGUUGUAAACCGCUUUCGCCUGUGACGAAGCGUGAGUGACGGUAAUGGGUAAAGAAGCACCGGCUAACUACGUG